UUAUAGUUCUACAGGGUCACUUUGUCUGUUCCGCUUUUAUUUUGAAAAGCGCCGUUUUUCUUCGGAUGGUUUUUUUUUGUGACGCUAGACUUCCGCUACUCUCUUUUCACAAUGUGGUGUUCACGUAUCGUCGGAAGAACGAGCUCUGAACUGUGAGGGUGUGUCGAGCUAGAGAGCAUGGUAGCUGAUGGCAGAAACUCUUUGAUUAGCGCCCUUGGAGAAGCGGAAUGAGUUUUCACGGUGUUCAUGGUGCAUGGUGCUUGUUGAGAGGAAGAAAUAAAUUGACACCCGUUUGAAACUCUCUGCGUCUUGAUCAAUAUAUCCGAG